AGUUUGAUCAUGGCUCAGAGCGAACGCUGGCGGCAGGCCUAACACAUGCAAGUCGAACGGACCCUUCGGGGUUAGUGGCGGACGGGUGAGUAACACGUGGGAACGUGCCUUUAGGUUCGGAAUAGCUCCUGGAAACGGGUGGUAAUGCCGAAUGUGCCCUUCGGGGGAAAGAUUUAUCGCCUUUAGAGCGGCCCGCGUCUGAUUAGCUAGUUGGUGAGGUAAUGGCUCACCAAGGCGACGAUCAGUAGCUGGUCUGAGAGGAUGACCAGCCACAUUGGGACUGAGACACGGCCCAAACUCCUACGGGAGGCAGCAGUGGGGAAUCUUGCGCAAUGGGCGAAAGCCUGACGCAGCCAUGCCGCGUGAAUGAUGAAGGUCUUAGGAUUGUAAAAUUCUUUCACCGGGGACGAUAAUGACGGUACCCGGAGAAGAAGCCCCGGCUAACUUCGUGCCAGCAGCCGCGGUAAUACGAAGGGGGCUAGCGUUGCUCGGAAUUACUGGGCGUAAAGGGCGCGUAGGCGGAUCGUUAAGUCAGAGGUGAAAUCCCGGAGCUCAACUUCGGAACUGCCUUUGAUACUGGCGAUCUUGAGUGUGAGAGAGGUAUGUGGAACUCCGAGUGUAGAGGUGAAAUUCGUAGAUAUUCGGAAGAACACCAGUGGCGAAGGCGACAUACUGGCUCAUUACUGACGCUGAGGCGCGAAAGCGUGGGGAGCAAACAGGAUUAGAUACCCUGGUAGUCCACGCCGUAAACGAUGAUUGCUAGUUGUCGGGCUGCAUGCAGUUCGGUGACGCAGCUAACGCAUUAAGCAAUCCGCCUGGGGAGUACGGUCGCAAGAUUAAACUCAAG
rnacentral:rRNA from 1 species